rnacentral:rRNA from 1 species
CAAUAGCGUAUAUUUAAGUUGUUGCAGUUAAAAAGCUCGUAGUUGGAUUUCGGAUGGGAUUUGCCGGUCCGUCGUUACGAUGUGCACUGGCCAGUCCUAUCUUGUUGUCGGGGACUAGCUCCUUGGAUUCACUUCCUGGGACUAGGAGCUGACGAGGUUACUUUGAGUAAAUUAGAGUGUUCAAAGCAAGCCUACGCUCUGAAUACAUUAGCAUGGAAUAACACGAUAGGACUCUGGCUUAUCUUGUUGGUCUGUGAGACCAGAGUAAUGAUUAAGAGGGACAGUCGGGGACAUUCGUAUUUCAUUGUCAGAGGUGAAAUUCUUGGAUUUAUGAAAGACGAACUUCUGCGAAAGCAUUUGUCAAGGAUGUUUUCAUUAAU